UACGUAGGGGGCAAGCGUUGUCCGGAUUUAUUGGGCGUAAAGAGCGUGUAGGCGGCUAGAUAGGUCCGUUGUGAAAACUCGAGGCUCAACCUCGAGACGUCGAUGGAAACCAUCUGGCUAGAGUCCGGAAGAGGAGAGUGGAAUUCCUGGUGUAGCGGUGAAAUGCGCAGAUAUCAGGAGGAACACCAAUGGCGAAGGCAGCUCACUGGGACGGUAUUGACGCUGAGACGCGAAAGCGUGGGGAGCGAACAGG
rnacentral:rRNA from 1 species